GUACUCGCUUCGGCGGUACAUAUACUAAAAUUGGAACGAUACUGAGAAGAUUAGCAUGGUCCCUGCGCAAGGAUCGUGAAGCGUUCCACAUUUUU
rnacentral:snRNA from 13 species